UACGUAGGGUCCGAGCGUUGUCCGGAAUUAUUGGGCGUAAAGGGCUCGUAGGCGGUUCGUCACGUCGGGAGUGAAAACUCGGAGCUUAACUCCGAGCCUGCUUCCGAUACGGGCAGACUAGAGGUAGGCAGGGGAGAGCGGAACUCCUGGUGUAGCGGUGAAAUGCGUAGAUAUCUGGAGGAACACCGGUGGCGAAGGCGGCAUCCUGGACCGAGAUUGACGCUGAGGCGCGAAAGCCAGGGGAGCAAACGGG
rnacentral:rRNA from 1 species